rnacentral:rRNA from 1 species
CCUACGGGUGGCAGCAGUGAGGAAUAUUGGUCAAUGGGCGAGAGCCUGAACCAGCCAAGUCGCGUGGGGGAGUACUGCCCUAUGGGUUGUAAACCUCUUUUGUCGGGGAGCAAAAGCCGGACGUGUCCGGCUGUGAGCGUACCCGACGAAACAGCAUCGGCUAACUCAGUGCCAGCAGCCGCGGUAAUACGGAGGAUGCGAGCGUUAUCCGGAUUGAUUGGGUUUAAAGUGUGCGCAGGCGGAGUUUUAAGUCAGCGGUAAAAUCGUGGGGCUCAACCCCAUCCAGCCGUUGAAACUGGGGAUCUAGAGUGUGCGAGAGGUAUGCGGAAUGCGUGGUGUAGCGGUGAAAUGCAUAGAUAUCACGCAGAACCCCGAUUGCGAAGGCAGCAUACCGGUGCACAACUGACGCUCAGGCACGAAAGCGUGGGUAUCGAACAGGAUUAGAUACCCCAGUAGUC